AACGAACGCUGGCGGCAGGCUUAACACAUGCAAGUCGAGCGCCCCGCAAGGGGAGCGGCAGACGGGUGAGUAACGCGUGGGAGCGUACCCUUUGCUACGGAAUAGCUCCGGGAAACUGGAAUUAAUACUGUAUGUGCCCUACGGGGGAAAGAUUUAUCGGCAAAGGAUCGGCCCGCGUUGGAUUAGCUAGUUGGUGGGGUAAUGGCCUACCAAGGCGACGAUCCAUAGCUGGUCUGAGAGGAUGAUCAGCCACAUUGGGACUGAGACACGGCCCAAACUCCUACGGGAGGCAGCAGUGGGGAAUAUUGGACAAUGGGCGCAAGCCUGAUCCAGCCAUGCCGCGUGAGUGAUGAAGGCCUUAGGGUUGUAAAGCUCUUUCACCGGAGAAGAUAAUGACGGUAUCCGGAGAAGAAGCCCCGGCUAACUUCGUGCCAGCCGCCGCCGUAAUAC
rnacentral:rRNA from 1 species